CCUACGGGAGGCAGCAGUGGGGAAUAUUGGACAAUGGGCGCAAGCCUGAUCCAGCCAUGCCGCGUGAGUGAUGAAGGCCCUAGGGUUGUAAAGCUCUUUUGUGCGGGAAGAUAAUGACUGUACCGCAAGAAUAAGCCCCGGCUAACUUCGUGCCAGCAGCCGCGGUAAUACCCUGUCUCCAGCAGCCGCGGUAAU
rnacentral:rRNA from 1 species